rnacentral:rRNA from 1 species
UAGAGUUUGAUCAUGGCUCAGAUUGAACGCUGGCGGCAGGCCUAACACAUGCAAGUCGAGCGGCAGCACGGGUACUUGUACCUGGUGGCGAGCGGCGGACGGGUGAGUAAUGCCUAGGAAUCUGCCUGGUAGUGGGGGAUAACGCUCGGAAACGGACGCUAAUACCGCAUACGUCCUACGGGAGAAAGCAGGGGACCUUCGGGCCUUGCGCUAUCAGAUGAGCCUAGGUCGGAUUAGCUAGUUGGUGAGGUAAUGGCUCACCAAGGCGACGAUCCGUAACUGGUCUGAGAGGAUGAUCAGUCACACUGGAACUGAGACACGGUCCAGACUCCUACGGGAGGCAGCAGUGGGGAAUAUUGGACAAUGGGCGAAAGCCUGAUCCAGCCAUGCCGCGUGUGUGAAGAAGGUCUUCGGAUUGUAAAGCACUUUAAGUUGG